rnacentral:rRNA from 1 species
AUGGGUAGAAGCAAGGUCAAUCCUAUUUGGGGUAAGAUCUGGAAAUUAGCUUGUCCGGCGAAGGUUAAAUUUUUUAUUUCGCGGAUGCUUCAUGGAACUCUACCAUGUCGUGUUACAUUGGCCAACAGACAUAUAAAAACUCAACCAAUAUGCCCAGCAUGUUUGGACGGGCCGGGGGACACGAAACAUAUAUUAUUUCUGUGUUAGAAGGCAGAUGUGUGGGAACAUUUGGGGUUGUAUGAAGUGGUAAAAAAAGCCUGCGUCGUUGAUCGUGCAGGAGAGGCAGUCCUUGAAUUCCUGCUCCUUAUGCCUGAUCAUGAACUACCCAUCUUGGGCUCCCAGAAUGCAUGGGAAUUUAUUGCUAAAGCUGCUUGGUAUUUAUGGUGGAAUAGA